AUAUUCAUUGAAAAAUAUACCCCAAGGGCCUGUGCCCCGGUCAUUGAUAGUGCAGGGAGAGAAGUUGAUGAAAGCCUUUCCCCGUGUUUGGGGGGUCUCCUGUCCCUUCCAGACCGUGGUGCUUUCGUACA